rnacentral:rRNA from 1 species
GACCUACGGGAGGCAGCAGUGGGGAAUAUUGCACAAUGGAGGGAACUCUGAUGCAGCGACGCCGCGUGAGUGAAGAAGUAAUUCGUUAUGUAAAGCUCUAUCAGCAGGGAAGAAAGUGACGGUACCUGAAAAAGAAGCUCCGGCUAAAUACGUGCCAGCAGCCGCGGUAAUACGUAUGGAGCGAGCGUUAUCCGGAUUUACUGGGUGUAAAGGGAGCGUAGACGGCGAUGCAAGUCUGAAGUGAAAGGCGGGGGCCCAACCCCCGGACUGCUUUGGAAACUGUAUGGCUGGAGUGCAGGAGAGGG